UUGAGAGAUAUUAAACAACGGAAAGGAUAAGUCAAACUGAAUAAUAUCAAAUAAACAUACUAAAAAUCCUAUAAGAACAGAUCCCUAUCAUUGGUAAUUCCCAACAAUAAACCAACUGCAUUCAAGCACUUUAGGUCAUUGUUGGUAUAUAUCAUGACGUCAUGAACCAGCCCUUCUACGUCGUCGAUUGGGACCGCAGAUAAGCAAACGUAACGUAACCAUAAUCGAGAGUUGGGUUAAACUUUUGCUCAUGAAUGACAUAAAAGUAAGAUUAAAUUUGAUGAAAUAAGACUUGAUGAAUACCAGUCUCAAAAAUAUGCAAGCAAAGUAAUGUUAAAAUAAAAUUUAGGUGUUAUUGGUUAUUCGUGGAUAUUCCCAAAGGAAUAUAACCAAGGGCAAGACCAGAGAUAACCGGGGUUAUUAGAGGUUAUUCGUUUGAAUGACGAAAAAAAAGUCUGGAAACGGUGACUUUAUUUCGCGCACAGGUAGAAAAUCGUAAUUCUGGUACUUAGGGUCUUUAGUAAUUUCGCCCAAGCAAUCGAUGGGCCCAUCAGAUUUUGGGCCCAAAAAAGUCUUUUAUGAGAUACGAGGCCCAACCUUGAAAUUUCAAAUACAUCAAACCCAUUUUUUUUUGCAAAUUCGAAUUCAGCGGGAGAUUUCACGUCCGAAUUGGUUGAAACCAAAAUUUGUGGGCCCUAUCGCAGCGUUUUUUUUUUUCAAAAAUCCCGGGGCGUCUGAAUCAUUCAAAUCGAUAUUUUAGUACAGAGGAUUUUCGCUGUUACAAAGUUCAAUUGAAGUGUAAUGGGAUAUGUUUUAUUCUGGCCUUUCGAAACUCAUAGGUCCAUUAGGGCAGGUAAAGGGCUCAGCCCUUGGAAUUUGAAUAACAA